rnacentral:rRNA from 1 species
CAGCAGCCACGGUAAUACGAAGGGGGCUAGCGUUGUUCGGAAUUACUGGGCGUAAAGCGCACGUAGGCGGAUAUUUAAGUCAGGGGUGAAAUCCCGCAGCUCAACUGCGGAACUGCCUUUGAUACUGGGUAUCUUGAGUAUGGAAGAGGUUAGUGGAAUUGCGAGUGUAGAGGUGAAAUUCGUAGAUAUUCGCAGGAACACCAGUGGCGAAGGCGGCUAACUGGUCCAUAACUGACGCUGAGGUGCGGAAGCGUGGGGAGCAAACAGGAUUAGAUACCCCCGUAGUCCCUGUCUCUUAUAA